rnacentral:rRNA from 1 species
UACGUAGGGCGCAAGCGUUGUCCGGAAUUAUUGGGCGUAAAGAGCUCGUAGGCGGUUUGUCGCGUCUGUCGUGAAAGCUUGGGGCUUAACCCCAAGUCUGCGGUGGAUACGGGCAGACUAGAGGCAGGUAGGGGAGAACGGAAUUCCCGGUGUAGCGGUGAAAUGCGCAGAUAUCGGGAGGAACACCGGUGGCGAAGGCGGUUCUCUGGGCCGAAACUGACGCUGAGGAGCGAAAGCGUGGGGAGCAAACAGG